AUGCUCGCUUCAGCAACACAUAUACUACAAUUGGAAUGAUAUAGAAAAGAUUAGCAUGGCCCCUGUGCAAGGAUGACAUGCAAAUUUGUGAUGCAGUCCAUAUAUAU
rnacentral:snRNA from 1 species